CAAUAAAAUCAAUAAAUAAAUAAAACCAAGUAAUAAGAACAGGUCAGUGGCACUGGCUGGGUUAGGUUUGGGUUAUGGUUGGGGUUGAUAGAUCCGGUGGAGGUUUAUUUGCACUGGCCUAAAGAUCUGUAUGUAAGUGUGUGUGGCUGUAUGAUGCUGUGUGUGUGAGCUGGUUCCUGUUCCUGUCGGGAUGGAUGGGUGAGGUGGCUGGAGCAGCUCUCUGCCCCGGGAGACCCGGGUUCGACUCCCAGAUGAGGCGGAGGACCAGGAUGUGGUUAGGGUUUAGGGUUGGGGUUAGGGUUAGGGUUAGGGUUAGGGUUAGAGGGUUAGGGUUAGGGUUAGGGUUAGGGUUAGGGUUUAGGGUUAGGGUU